rnacentral:rRNA from 1 species
UAGCGGCGAGUGAGCGGCAGAGCUCAGAUUUGAAAUCGUGUUUCGGCACGAGUUGUAGAGUGUAGGCGGGAGUCUCUGUGGAGCGCGGUGUCCAAGUCCCUUGGAACAGGGUGCCUGAGAGGGUGAGAGCCCCGUAGGGUGCUGCGCGAAGCUUUUGAGGCCCUGCUGACGAGUCGAGUUGUUUGGGAAUGCAGCUCCAAGCGGGUGGUAAAUUCCAUCUAAGGCUAAAUAUUGGCGAGAGACCGAUAGCGAACAAGUACUGUGAAGGAAAGAUGAAAAGCACUUUGAAAAGAGAGUGAAACAGCACGUGAAAUUGUUGAAAGGGAAGGGUAUUGGGCUCGACAUGGGGGGUGCGCACCGCUGUCUCUUGUAGGCGGCGCUCUGGGCGCCCUCUGGGCCAGCAUCGGUUCCUGCUGCGGGAGAAGGGGCUCCGGAAAGUGGCUCUUCGGAGUGUUAUAGCCGGGGCCAGAUGCCGCGUGUGGGGACCGAGGACUGCGGCUUCUGUCUCGGAUGCUGGCAUAACGGCGCAAUACCGCCCGUCUU